rnacentral:lncRNA from 1 species
CUUGAGUCAAUUAAUAAUUAUAUUAUUAAUUAAUUAUUUUUUAAUUUAUUAAUUAUUAAUAAAUAAUUUAUUAUAAUUUUUAUAUAGGAUUAAUCAUCAAUCAAGUUGAUAAUUAAAUCCUUCAAUGAUUCAUAAUCGUCAAUCAGCCAUUUGAUCAGACAGGUACUUCUAUGUGUGUGAUCCCAUAAGUUCAAACCUA